rnacentral:rRNA from 1 species
GACGAACCGUGCGAACGUUGUUCGGAUUCACUGGGCUUAAAGGGCGCGUAGGCGGGUGCUCAAGUCGAGGGGUGAAAUCCUCCCGCUUAACGGGAGAACGCCUUUGAUACUGGGUGUCUCGAGGGAGGUAGGGGCAGGUGGGAACUCCGGUGGAGCGGUGAAAUGCGUAGAUAGUCGGAAGGAACGCCGGUGGCGAAAGCGACCUGCCUGGACCUCUUCUGACGCUGAGGCGCGAAAGCCAGGGGAGCAAG